UACGAAGGGGGCUAGCGUUGCUCGGAAUCACUGGGCGUAAAGCGCACGUAGGCGGCUUGUUAAGUCAGGGGUGAAAUCCUGGAGCUCAACUCCAGAACUGCCUUUGAUACUGGCGAGCUUGAGUCCGGGAGAGGUGAGUGGAACUGCGAGUGUAGAGGUGAAAUUCGUAGAUAUUCGGAAGAACACCAGUGGCGAAGGCGGCUCACUGGCCCGGUACUGACGCUGAGGUGCGAAAGCGUGGGGAGCAAACAGGG
rnacentral:rRNA from 1 species